CUCUUAUUCAGAGUGAUGGAGAUACAAAGGAUCUAUGAAGUCACGGCAACCCCGUUAGAAAACAGGAAGGUGCCAACCUGAGCGAGUAAUCGAACAAUAAGAG
rnacentral:ncRNA from 2 species